GGGUAUCCACUCAAGAUCAGCCUGGAACAGCCCUCUUUAAGUUGAAUUUUUUUCUCUAAGAAAAUUUAGCCUAUUGAAUCUGAACAAAAUCUAGAUCGUGAUCAACACUUGAUCUCUUUUCUUGAUCUUCUUCUUCUCUUCUUCUCUUUUCUUUCUCCCUUGAAUUAUAUUGCUACUAGUAGGUGGAAACCAGCAUAAGGUUGAUGCCUAAGUGCCCUUGGCAUGGAGGAGAAGUGGGACACCCCAAGUGGAGGGAUGUGUGGACGUCCAAAGGGAAAGGAGAAGGGAGAGGAAG
rnacentral:lncRNA from 1 species